AAGGAUCAUUAACACAACUUUAAACUGUUGAACACCUCGUGAACUGUUGUCCUCCCUGAGCUGUAUUUAAACCACAACUUGGGCUACUACUUGCUUGUUUGCUGUGUUGACUUCGGUCAGCAUUUGUGACUUGCAUGUUUUUAAAAUUUUCACCCCUUCUACCGCUCUUUAUUGAGCUGACCUGGCAUUCAGCGCAAGCUGAGUUCCAUAACUAAAUGAUUAAGGCUAUUUUCUUUAUUGAAUCUGCCGAUAAACAUAAAAACAACUCUUAACAAUGGAUAUCUUGGUUCUC
rnacentral:misc_RNA from 1 species